CGAUCCCUCCGUUCCUGUGCUUUCUCACAGUCCCAACUGUGCUUGCAGGACGACCUUGUGCCGGGACCCUGCAUGUCAGUGCAUACAGAAAGGAGGCGCCGGCCUGGAUGGGAAGACUGAAUCUGUCGGCCCAGAAGAGUGUGAAGAAUCACAGCCCUCCUUCAGGACUCUUGUUUCCAGAUCUCGGGGUGGCGGAUGAGGGCUCUCCAUGUCCUUCCUCAGCAAGUGGACAGUAAAGGUACCAAGGAGUCCUGGGACCUUCGAGGGGUGGCGUGAUGAAAGCAGAAGCGCGUUGGGGCUGUGGCCUCUCGUCUGCAGGGACUGCCGUGGGAUCCGGCGGCCAUGACAUGAGAAGAUACCCUGGAAGCUUCAGCAGCCCACUCUGGCCCGGCGGCCACCGUAUGCGGGCGGCUCCCACCCUCUUCUCCGUCCUCUGAACUUGUAGCUACACAGCAGCGUCUCCCCAGCGUCUCCCAAGCGUCUCCGCUCCCAAGUCUUACGGCUCAAGUUCGGCACAAGCAGACCUGCUGAACCUGCCUCAGCCUUGGUAAAUGGGACCCCAGGCACCAUGACUCCAGCUGGAGACGGAGCCACUGCGGUGCCCCCUGCCCCGGGCACCCCAUGCCCUUUCAUCAGUUCUCUUGGUCCCGUCUUUAAGUAUUUUUCAGACUUGUCCACUUCUUUACUACGGGCUGUAGGCUAGUCUGACUGCCCCAACCCUCUGCUGAACUUAGCUGCCGCUUACUGCCCUUGGUUCCAAUGUACAGCCCUCCCGAGCCUGCCGCCCACAGCCUGCCUCACCUUCGCAGAAACGCUCGGGAUGGUGUAACUGCCCGUGCAGAGCCCUGGCUGGCGUCCAUCCUGCACCAGGACCCCGAUGUGCACUCCCUGCGGCAGCCGGGUCCAGGGUCCUCCUCAAAGCCCUCCCUCCUGCUGUGCUUAGCAGGGAGGGGCCGGCCCUGGGACCCUUCUGGUCCUGUACUGGUCCCAAUUCCUCUGCUCCUGCAGCCCAGCUGCUGAACAGCUCCCAGGAGUCGAGACUGUGGGUCCCUCCCAGCAGCUGGUGGAGAACAGCUCAGCCCAGACUCAGCCGUUUUCAAACAGAUUCCCAUUUUCAGACCAGGACAGUAAGGCCACAGGAGGCCCACCUUGGUUUUCAGAAAGGUUGCUCAUCAACUAUGCUGUUGCUUUCUCUUACAACUUGGGAUUCUAUCAGUUUCCAAACUGUGCAUACAAAUAAAUUCAUAAUAGUAGCAAUAAUCAAAAUUUUACCCCCUCCCC
rnacentral:lncRNA from 1 species